rnacentral:lncRNA from 1 species
CUGCUUCCUGAAGGAUUAUUUGUCUCCUACUUCAGCUAGGAGGGAAGGAAGCCAGUGUUGGCUCAGGCACCCCAAAGCGAGCGGGAUUUGUACGGAGCCUUUCUGUAAUCCCAGGGAGCCGGACUAGGAAAUGCGCCCUCCGCUGGCGCUGGGUCACCGUUCUCUGCGUAGCUUUUUCUCCUCCCCCCGCCCCCCAUCUGUGGCCUGUGUCUCCUGCCUGGACGCUCCAGAUCCACCGCAGGGAAUUCUCCAAGGGCCUGCUGAAGAGCGAAGAGUCCAAGCUGAGGGGACCGGGGGUGGGGGGUGGGAGGGUCCUCUACCCACCUCUACCCUGUUCUGCCACGUCUCAGGCCUGGCCAAAAGUCAGGAACAUCUAAUACAACUUCUAAAAAGAGCCCAGUGUCAUUUAUAUUCAGGUUUUCCUCACUUGCCAUGGACUCUGAAUGUCAUUUACACACACACACACACACACACACACACACACACACACACACACACACACACACGCUUUACUGUGGCCAAACGCUGGGACUUCUCCUUUGGACCAGUUCUGCGUGGGACCUAGACGCCCCCCACCCCGUCUCUUAGCCCCCCCCCCAUCCUGAUCUCCCCCGCUGUGGCCUAGAGGCCUGUGGCCACUGUCAAGGGGCCCCCCGUCUGGAGGGCUUGGGUCCGGCUCCCCCGCCGCCACGGUGAUUUAUUCGCCUCACUCGACGGAAUCAGAUUAACAUGCAAACGGGGAGGCGAUCGGCUCGAGUCUGUCUCUCCAAACUGCCCCGACCGCCGGACAGCGGAAAACUACAGCCCCGGCCACCCCACGCCUGCUUGAGCAGGGGCCGUGACCCAGCCAGUACCCGCAGAGAAGCACCCCAGAGUGCGCACCCUGCUCAGGCUUCUGACCACCGCUGCAAACUUUGUUAAACUCCUUGCCCUCCCGCCCCGCCCCGGUUCUUUUCUUGCCUGGCCUGCUUUUCCUGAAGCAGGGAAAGAGAAGGUUAUCACCCUCGGAUCCUGAGAGUUGGGACCCUGUCUGGCAGGCACAUUAGCCUCUGGCCUCCCGCCAGGCUGCCAGACAGCGGAGCAUUCCUCGCUGAGAAGCACUGGUGACUGGAGCGGCCAGGCUUGCCAUGGCCCCUGCUGCUGUUCUUAGGGUUGCCCUUGUCUGAUUCUCCCAGGACACUCGGGACUUGUCCCAGUCUUAGGCACGGACACUGAUUGCGCCUUAUGAAGUUCUAACUGGUUUUGUGUCAGGAAGAUCUUUCUCGCUGCUACCCAGCCUGGCGUGACGGAUUAAACAUCAACUAGUUAAAUAAAAAUUAAUAUCAACUGCCUCCUAACUUCUAAUGUCAUGUUGUUUAUAACUAAUGAACUGAUUAGGGGAUAAACACAUCACGGAGACAUUCGGCUUUUCAGCCUCCGCUCCAUCGUCGCCUGUGCCCACUCCAAUGCUUCCAGUUGCCGGCCCAGGAAAGGGGGUGGUGAGGGGGGCGGGCAGGGCAGGACGCCUAGACUGGGAGUCCCAGGGGUUGCCCCUCUCCUGCCUUGAUCUUCCCCCCUCUGUGUUCUCUCUCUCUCUCUCUCUCUCUCUCUCUCUCUCUCUCUCUCUCUCUCUCUCUCCUCCUUCCUUCUCUUUCCCUUCAGUACAUUUCCUUUUCUGUCUCCACCCCAUUUCCUACUUUAUCUCUUUUUCUUGCUUUUCCUUCUCUUCUGUCCUUCCUUCUUUCCGUUCUACUGCAUGUCCAUCCCUGUUCACUCCCCUGCCCUUUGUGUCUGAUGUCUCUCCCUCUCUGCCCCACCCCCAGUCUGAGCGUGACACCCCCCCCCCUUCUAUCAUAGCCCAGCCUCUCUCCUCUCCUUUCUCCUUCUUCCUCCCUGGCCAGCCCAGAGUAGAAUAAUAACCAAAGUCCUUGUAACUGAGCAUGUGCCCUGGAUCAAAGCAAGACAGUCAUCCUCCCCCAAACUUAGAAACACACACACACACACACACACACACACACACACACACACACCUAUUUAAAGGGGGGGGGGAAAGUGUUUUCUCCAUCUUUCCUCUUCCAUCUCAAG